rnacentral:rRNA from 1 species
UACGGGGGGAGCAAGCGUUGUUCGGAUUUACUGGGCGUAAAGGGCGCGUAGGCGGUCAGCACAAGUCAGUUGUGAAAUCUCCGGGCUUAACUCGGAAAGGUCAACUGAUACUGUGCGACUAGAGUGCAGAAGGGGCAACUGGAAUUCUCGGUGUAGCGGUGAAAUGCGUAGAUAUCGAGAGGAACACCUGCGGCGAAGGCGGGUUGCUGGGCUGACACUGACGCUGAUGAGCGCGAAGCC